UCAUGUCCGAGCACCAAAUACAACUGCCUGCUCUUUGUCUGAAAAUUAUCCAGUUCAGACUUUUGCGUGCGCCCCAUUCCUGCAGAAGGGCCUGGAUCAGGUACAGGGAAGACGCAAACAGCACAUCGCUCAAAUCUGAUCAUUAAUAAGUGACAUAAGAGCCUGGCAGCGGCAGCAGCGGUUUUACAAGGACUGUGGAACCUAAUAGCCAAAUGAUCCUUCCUCAGCAACUUCCUGCUUCACAUUCCAGCUAUUUGAGACCAAGAAAUACCCAAUCACACUUCCCUAUUUCAUGGACUUGAGCUGCCUGAGGAUCCCUUGUAAUGAUUCCCCUUGGAUGCCCACUUCAGCAGUGGGCACUGUCCAUCUGCCAACUUGCAGCUAGAAGCAGCCAGGGCUCAGAGCCAAGGAGCUGGACCCAUGGCCUCGCAUGCCAAGAUACCAACUUGGUGUCAGCAAAACUGAAGAAAGCUUCAGGGCCACUUUUUGCUGCCUCACAGAAACUCCAGGGGAUUGGUUGGCAGGGAGCUCGCUUGCUUCGGGGAGAGGUGGAAGGUUUUUAACUCCACUGCUAAUGAGUGAGAUGGAGCCUG
rnacentral:lncRNA from 1 species